CCGAGCUAACAUGGGGUUAGCUCGUUAAAUUACAAUAAAGCCUCAUGCAGUUUGCAUCAAGCUUUCGCCUCCAUUCUGUGUUUGGGGUGGCCGCCCUCCUGGGCUAAGAUUCUGGAAGCCUCAGCUUUCUGAGGGUCUUACACUGGGAUGAAAGAGCACACCACGCCAGGACUCAUGUGCUUGUCACUGUUGAGCCCCCCACCCCUGCCACCCCCAGCCUGGUGGAUGUUCAUGAAGUCCCUGCUUACCUGGACUUCUGCAUGACACGAGGUGGCUUCUCAAACCUUGGUUUCUAGUGAUGCCACAGAAGCACUGCUGAAUGUCCUAAGGCCUGCGGUUUGCUGAAUAAAACCAGAGUAUUGUGGACGGGUAGAAUUAACAAUAAAAUCUCUUCCCAAUCCAGGAAAGCAUUCCAUGAAGGUGACAGGAGAAUCUUCUUGUUGCAUGAACAAAACCACAAGGUGCAUCUCAGGCGGCUGUUGAUGGAACGGGAAGGCUCCCUCUCACGUGGCUGUUGGGAAGAUUUGAGUCAGGCAAACCACAGAAGCCAUAGCGUGGUCUAGCCAGUGGGUCCUGAACUUGAGUGCAGCCUCCAAGAAAGCCAGCACACAGACCCUUUGAGGAGCUCUUACAAGAAUGGGACCCCCCCAGCUGACCCUCCAACCUGCCACCUCCCUCUUCAGACGCUCGCCCACCCCAGUCUUUCCAGGCCUUCUCAUUCUUCUUCAUGAAGCCGUUUCUUUUCUUUCUUUUUUUUUUUAAUUUUAUUUAUUUAUUAUGUAUACAGCAUUCUGCUUCCAUGUAUAUCUGCACACCAGAAGAGGGCACCAGAUCUCAUAACGGAUGGUUGUGAGCCACCAUGUGGUUGCUGGGAAUUGAACUCAGGACCUCUGGAAGAGCAGCCAGUGCUCUUAACCUCUGAGCCCUCUCUCCAGCUCCGAUGACGUUUCUUUCCAGGCUGAGCUUAGUGGGUGUGCACCUGCAAUUUUCCUGUACACAGCAAAUUGGGGACCAGCCCAGCUACAUCUGACCUGUCUCAAAAACAAACAGGUAGGGGGGUGUUGAAGAUGGCUCCAUGAGCAGUCACCAAGCUGAGGACCUGAGUUUGAUUCCUGGGAUCCAUAUGGUAGAAGAGAACCAACUCCUGCAAGUUGCCCGCUGAUCCCUGCACAUGUAUGUGGCACUCAUGAGUGUGCUCUUGCACAUGUGUACAUAUAUAUACAAGAUAAAUGUUGAUUUUUUUUUUAAAUUUACUUUCCACCUAAACCCAGAGGCACCAACCCUGGGUUUUUUGGUUUUUUAUUGGGGAGGGGUGGUUUUCAAAACAGAGUUUCUCUGUAUGGCUUUGGAGGCUGUCCUGGAACUUGCUCUGUAGACCAGGCUGGCCUCGAACUCAUAGAGACCCAUCUGCCUCUGCCUCCUGAGUGUCAGGAUUAAAGGUCUAUGCCACUACUGCCCAGCCUAGAAUUUUCAUUCUUUGGGGUGGGGAGGCAUCGUGAGUGCUGGGGACAGAUUCUGGGACCUUGCACAUCCUAGGCACGUGCCCUGCCUGUCUAAGCAUGCCCCAACCUUGUUUGUUUUCAGACACUACAGGAAAGGGGCCGAAUUCUAUUGUGUGGUGACCCCUACCCAGGGGUCAGGCAGCCUUCGGCUGGGGUCUGAGACUCCACAGCUCUGUAGCACAAGCGGGGAUCAGAGCUGGGACGAGGCCAAAGGCAAAGGCAACCAGGAGAAGCAGAGUGGCUUUUCUCUGUGAAGGUCAAAUCCCAGGAGCUCAGGCUGGACUCAGCUUUUAGCUCUCAUUACUCUGAAGGUCAGAUAACAACUUAUCUUUGGCCUGGUGACAGGGAAACCAGUGUAGGUGACUUGGGUUUGGUCUGGUCCUUUGGAGCAGAACACCUCAGGCAGACCAAUGGUGUCCCUCUGUCUCCCUUGCUGGAAGGAAAGCAAUCCUGUGACAGCCAGAGCUGGGGCCUCAUCCAGGGCAUCCUCCCUCCUCCCUCCCUCCUCCCUCUCCCUCCCUCCCUCCCUCCCUCUCUCCCUAUUUCCCUCUCUCUCCCCUUCUCCUUGUGUCCUCCAGGGCCUGUAUCUUGUGAGCUUCCUUGCCUCCUCCUAGGGAGUCCUGCAGCUUGUCUUGGCCCUGAUGGCUUCUGAUGCUGGUUCCCCCUUGUCCUCUGUGGCUACACUAUCCUCUGUCUCUUAGCUGACUAACCUUCCCUAUGGCAGAGUUCUUUUUGCGACCCUUCCUCUGUUGGCGCCCAAACUCUGAGCCUCCCAAAUCACCAAGAGACCCAAUCCAAUGCAAAAACAAAGUCUUUUGUUUUCCGAGUUAACUUGGGUUCCCAGGUCCAGUCCCUCCUGCUUCACCUCUGAGUUAACUCAUAAAUUACAAAGACUCUUUGCUUUUGCAUCGGAGAUGGUCUCUUGGUGGUUCUGGGGGUUCAGAGUCUGGGCACAAUAAGACAUGUGUCUAACUACUUACGUAUUUGCUAAUUGCUCAACACAAAGCUUCUAGGAAAUUCAGAUAGUAACAACAUAUAUUUUAUAAAUAAGGUAUAUCUGAUAAGUAAGAUGUAUAAAUUUCUAAGAUCUGCUCAGGGUCACAGUAAUAUUUGUGUAGCUUCUUUGUCUUUGCUCACUUUGUUUUAAGAUUGUUCUGUGUGGACAAACUAAGUCAUUCAAAAAAUAAAAACUCCUGUGUUAGUCUAUAAUGGUGAUUAUAGGUUUAUAUCGAUACUAAAAGAGCUUCAAUUCAAAAAUUGUUAUUUUUUUUAAGGCUAAUCCUAACAGGGAUAAAAUGUGAAGUCCUAAUCUUUUAAAAACAAAACCUACUCACUUAUUGUAAAUUGUUAGAUAAUUAACACAUGCAAGUUAAUGGUCUAUCACCUUAUAAAUGAUCAAAUUCUUUAAUAUAUUCAGAACUAGGAUACUGAUCAUGUUGAAUAUUAAUGUAAUUACAGGAAUAAGCUCUGUUUAGCUUCCUGUAUAUGUUUUCAAAGUCAAGCCUAAAACAUGUAGCUAGAAACAAGCAAAAUUUGCUUAGUUUAGAUAUACUUAAUUGAUAGUGGUACUCAAAACUCCUCAGAGAUCUGGAGAAUAUGGCAUUUAAAAUGUUUAAUGGAAAAGGCACCCUGUGGUGGGGAGAAGUGCCAGCCCCCGGCCAGAACACAGAAGUUUCCAAGGAAGACGAUGGGCGCAGAGGAACUCCGCCUGGAGCUGCUUUGAAUGCAACAGUGUUGGCCACUGGGUAAAAACUACCCUUCCCCUUAGCCACCAUCAGGAUCCUGCCCACACUGUGGGCAAGCAGGACCCUGGGGACUUGACUGCUCCACUUUGCCUACACGAGGCUGAAGACUGAUACUGCCCUGGGACUUCCGUCCCCAACAAAAUCAAGAUGACCAUGGAGGAAUGUAAGUUGAGUGUACAGGUAACUGACAAGUCUUUGUCAUUUUUAAUAGAUUUGGGAACAGCUUGUUCCCGUACUUCCUGCUUCCUAAUUCAUCCCUCUCAGAUCUCUGAUGGUGUUGGUGACAGCUGGUGGUAGCUUUGUCAGCAACCAAGGCUUCAGCUGUCUUCUCAGUUCGCUUCGUACGCAACAAUCAGGCCUCAGGCUUCAGUUUCCUAGAGCAAUUACUAGGUCUAGACACAGUUUACCUUGUUAGUUACUAGAUUCUGAAAAGACAGAAACUCACAAAUCAGAUUUCAAUGUAAUGUUUCAUUACUUCUUUAUGUUUCUUAAUGAUUAUUUUGGUACUAUCCCUUUAUUUACAGGAACUUGCUUUACAAUGAUUGCUUUCAGUGGUCAACCACCUGUCUCAUGGUAAAUGACUGAAUAAAAAAGUUGGAAGGGUCUGUAAGUUCUGAGGGGCUAAGACAGUGUUUAAGGUGACCACAGACUGAGUGUUAUGAGCACAGUACCAAGUGGGACCUUCAGCGGAUCCCAUGGGGGGUGAAGGGACAAAUGGUGGGUGAGAGACACUGCCUCCCAGCUUAAAGAGACCUUUUAUGCCUGUGUACAGAGCCAGGGGUGACUCUGCCAAGUGUGCAGGGGUGGUACACUCGGCCGUGUCCCAAAGGGGUGGGGCCAGGUUUUCCUGGAUUAUAGCACUGAGGACAUGAAAGCUUACGUUGUGAGGGUCUAAGAAAAUGUUCUGGGGUCUAAGAAGGUGUUUCAAUGUGUGUAAAUGUAAUUUGCAAAGGUAUAAGAAAGUAAAUUAAGGUACAAAAAAAUGAGAAAUGCUUCAGAUUUUUUUCUUGCUUUGCUACUGUUAUACCAAGAUGAUGGGGGAAGUACUUCUGUAUAUGUUUAUCUUAUUGAUUGUUGAAUAAAAUACAGUUUGGCCAAUGAGACAGCAAGUUAGACGGGACUAGGAGUCAAAGAGGAUUCUGGGAAAUGUAGUAGAGAAGUGGUGAUCCAGGCAGGAAGUGACAUAGCAAGGAGACUCGUAUUUAAGCGAAGGAGAAGCAGGAAGGGUCCCUUUUCCCCUUGCUCUUCCAGCAGCACGAUGUGAUCCACUGGCAAGGAGGGACGCCAAUAAGGUGUCCGAUAAGUCUUAUAAAAUAUAUAGGUUUAUGAUAGUUAAGACUGAGCUAACAGAUGAGAAUCCUAGUCAUUGGCCAAGCAGCAUUGAACCUAAUACAAGUUUCUGUGUAUUCAUUUGGGCCUAACUCAGGCGGGCAGCUGGUGUACGUAAAGCUCACAAGUGGUGGUGGGG
rnacentral:lncRNA from 1 species